CUGGCACCCAUCCCAAGAACUGGUGCUGCCUGUAGUUGCUGUCUUAACAGUGGUGCACACAGCAAAGGGGCUUUGUUGCUUUUGGGGGGGGGGCUGUGUAGUGCCCCCCCAGAGUGAAUCAGUAGGUUCUACAGUC
ensembl:snoRNA Gm22331 predicted gene, 22331